rnacentral:rRNA from 1 species
AUUGAACGCUGGCGGAAUGCUUUACACAUGCAAGUCGAACGGCAGCACGGGGCAACCUGGUGGCGAGUGGCGAACGGGUGAGUAAUACAUCGGAACGUGCCCAAUCGUGGGGGAUAACGUAGCGAAAGUUACGCUAAUACCGCAUACGAUCUACGGAUGAAAGCGGGGGAUCGCAAGACCUCGCGCGAGUGGAGCGGCCGAUGUCAGAUUAGGUAGUUGGUGGGGUAAAGGCUCACCAAGCCAACGAUCUGUAGCUGGUCUGAGAGGACGACCAGCCACACUGGAACUGAGACACGGUCCAGACUCCUACGGGAGGCAGCAGUGGGGAAUUUUGGACAAUGGGCGCAAGCCUGAUCCAGCCAUUCCGCGUGCAGGAUGAAGGCCUUCGGGUUGUAAACUGCUUUUGUACGGAACGAAACGGCGAGCUCUAAUACAGUUUGCUAAUGACGGUACCGUAAGAAUAAGCACCGGCUAACUUCGUG